rnacentral:rRNA from 1 species
UACGUAGGGUGCGAGCGUUAAUCGGAAUUACUGGGCGUAAAGCGUGCGCAGGCGGUUCGACAAGUCCGAUGUGAAAGCCCCGGGCUCAACCUGGGAAUGGCAUUGGAAACUGGCGAGCUUGAGUGUGGCAGAGGGGGGUGGAAUUCCGCGUGUAGCAGUGAAAUGCGUAGAGAUGCGGAGGAACACCGAUGGCGAAGGCAGCCCCCUGGGCUGACACUGACGCUCAGGCACGAAAGCCAGGGGAGCGAACGGG